AGAGUUUGAUCAUGGCUCAGAUUGAACGCUGGCGGCAGGCCUAACACAUGCAAGUCGAACGGUAACAGGAAACAGCUUGCUGUUUCGCUGACGAGUGGCGGACGGGUGAGUAAUGUCUGGGAAACUGCCUGAUGGAGGGGGAUAACUACUGGAAACGGUAGCUAAUACCGCAUAACGUCGCAAGACCAAAGAGGGGGACCUUCGGGCCUCUUGCCAUCAGAUGUGCCCAGAUGGGAUUAGCUAGUAGGUGGGGUAACGGCUCACCUAGGCGACGAUCCCUAGCUGGUCUGAGAGGAUGACCAGCCACACUGGAACUGAGACACGGUCCAGACUCCUACGGGAGGCAGCAGUGGGGAAUAUUGCACAAUGGGCGCAAGCCUGAUGCAGCCAUGCCGCGUGUAUGAAGAAGGCCUUCGGGUUGUAAAGUACUUUCAGCGGGGAGGAAGGGAGUAAAGUUAAUACCUUUGCUCAUUGACGUUACCCGCAGAAGAAGCACCGGCUAACUCCGUGCCAGCAGCCGCGGUAAUACGGAGGGUGCAAACGUUAAUCGGAAUUACUGGGCGUAAAGCGCACGCAGGCGGUUUGUUAAGUCAGAUGUGAAAUCCCCGGGCUCAACCUGGGAACUGCAUCUGAUACUGGCAAGCUUGAGUCUCGUAGAGGGGGGUAGAAUUCCAGGUGUAGCGGUGAAAUGCGUAGAGAUCUGGAGGAAUACCGGUGGCGAAGGCGGCCCCCUGGACGAAGACUGACGCUCAGGUGCGAAAGCGUGGGGAGCAAACAGGAUUAGAUACCCUGGUAGUCCACGCCGUAAACGAUGUCGACUUGGAGGUUGUGCCCUUGAGGCGUGGCUUCCGGAGCUAACGCGUUAAGUCGACCGCCUGGGGAGUACGGCCGCAAGGUUAAAACUCAAAUGAAUUGACGGGGGCCCGCACAAGCGGUGGAGCAUGUGGUUUAAUUUGAUGCAACGCGAAGAACCUUACCUGGUCUUGACAUCCACGGAAGUUUUCAGAGAUGAGAAUGUGCCUUCGGGAACCGUGAGACAGGUGCUGCAAGGCUGUCGUCAGCUCGUGUUGUGAAAUGUUGGGUUAAGUCCCGCAACGAGCGCAACCCUUAUCCUUUGUUGCCAGCGGUCCGGCCGGGAACUCAAAGGAGACUGCCAGUGAUAAACUGGAGGAAGGUGGGGAUGACGUCAAGUCAUCAUGGCCCUUACGACCAGGGCUACACACGUGCUACAAUGGCGCAUACAAAGAGAAGCGACCUCGCGAGAGCAAGCGGACCUCAUAAAGUGCGUCGUAGUCCGGAUUGGAGUCUGCAACUCGACUCCAUGAAGUCGGAAUCGCUAGUAAUCGUGGAUCAGAAUGCCACGGUGAAUACGUCCCCGGGCCUUGUACACACCGCCCGUCACACCAUGGGAGUGGGUUGCAAAAGAAGUAGGUAGCUUAACCUUCGGGAGGGCGCUUACCACUUUGUGAUUCAUGACUGGGGUGAAGUCGUAACAAGGUAACCGUAGGGGAACCUGCGGUUG
rnacentral:rRNA from 1 species